CCUCACUAAGAGGAACCUCUGUCGUCUCCUCCUUAGAGUCGCUCUCAGCAGAGAACUGAAUCACUGAAGUUGUUUAGGAUAAGAUAGGAGCUCUCUGAGAGACUCUGAGGAUCUUUGGGAAUAUGGGCCCAUAUAAACUGUGGUUAUGAAACUCUGAAGAGCUGAACCCCACUGGGAACAUGUGGUUAGUUUUCAUAAAGCAGGUGGAGAGCCAGAAACCAACAAACUGAGAUCAACUCCAAGCACUAAGGAGUCAAGACCAGUUCACCUUCAGUCAGGAUUUGAUCUACUAUCCCAUGAAUUACAGUUUUUUUCAGAAACCGUUAACUCUUCCUUCUGACCCGGUUCUUGGUCCCAUCAGGAACAAGGUGAUUUUAAAGCUUCAGGGAAAUGAGAUGAACAGCCAUGCAGCCCAGACCCACAAUGAACGAUCUAAUAAACAAAUUCAUCCACCUUUCAACAAGUGAAGAUGAUGUCGACUCUUCUGAUUGGCCACGUGAAAAUAAACACAGAUGAUCAACACCUUAAGUGUAGGGUUGUACAUAUUAGAACUUGGUCCACUCUUCUUUCCAACGUUGCUUCAACUCAUUUAGGUUUCUACGCUGUGUUCCUAAGGUCCCACCUCAAUGUUUCAAUUAGC